UACGUAGGGUGCGAGCGUUGUCCGGAAUUACUGGGCGUAAAGGGCUCGUAGGUGGUUUGUCGCGUUGUUCGUGAAAUCUCACGGCUUAACUGUGAGCGUGCGGGCGAUACGGGCAGACUAGAGUACUGCAGGGGAGACUGGAAUUCCUGGUGUAGCGGUGGAAUGCGCAGUUAUCAGGAGGAACACCGGUGGCGAAGGCGGGUCGCUGGGCAGUAACUGACGCUGAGGAGCGAAAGCGUGGGGAGCGAACAGG
rnacentral:rRNA from 1 species